GAUGCUUUUGUGUGCCAUGUCUGAAGGCUUGUAUUCCCUCUGUGUGUGUUUUUGGACUGUUAUCAGACUGACAGGUUCCAGUGACAGAUGGUCAGCGUCGUUGGUCACGGAGAGUCACCGACCGUGCCUGUGUUUUGGUAAUCCUUCUUGUUUUGACAAGCUUGAGUCCAGCUGUAGGUCUUUUGAGAAUUCAUCGUUACUUGAUUAGUGCUGUGAAGUCUAUACGGUGAUUUAAAGUACCGAAGUGGUUUAGAUAAACAGAAUCGUGUGUGAUUUGGAGAAGAAAAUCAUAUUGUAAUAUGGUACACUAGGGCUGGGCGAUAUGAAAAAAACGUCAUAUAGGAAUACUUGAGGACGUUUCUACGAAAUGAGAUGCAUAUCUCUGACUACGUUUACAUGGACAGCAAACAUAGAUCGAUUAACAGCACACGUCAUUACGUCACUGCGCCAUGGUGUCUGACGUCCCUCCAGAAUUUCACGUAUCAACAUACAGUUCGUCUUCAUUAUGGUACCGUAUACAGUUUUGGGGUGUUUAAUUUUUUAUUUUAAAAGCCUCAAGUGCAGUUAAUUAUUUGUCAUGCUUUAUGUGCAAAUAGACGACUGCUUGAAGCUGUGGGCUGCGUCCCAAACCGCGUACUUACCUACUAUAUAGUAGCUAAAAUACAUGUAUUUCGCCUACUAUAUAGUAGGUAAGUACGCGGUUUGGGACGCAGACGCGCUGUCUUGUUUGCGGACAAACGGUUGAGCGCUGCCGUGUGUGAUCGUGUCCUGUCGCAAAAUGCAGUGAAAACUCCUACACGGUGUUAAUAGUGUGAUUAAGGUGUUUACAUGUCUGUAAUACACUACAAUAAUAUGACUAAAACAAGAAUACUCCACAUGUCUUAAUUCGAUUUAUGUUUACUUCGAGUAUGACUUUAAUCGGAUUAAGGUCAUCAGUAAUCGCCUGUUACAUGCUAGUUUCUUAAUAAGAGUAUCGGGUUAAUAUCGGAUUAUUGUUGUCCAUGUAAACGUACUGAUUGUUUAGACCACAGCGCCGCUGAGAUCUUGCUUCUGAUUGGCUGACAGAUGUUCUGAAUGUGUGUGAUUAAUUUUCAGUUCAAUGCACAGCUAAAAAAUCACUCCGGCAAGUUAAUGGAAAUAACGGAAAGGUUAAACAAAACAAAAUGACACAGUUUUAAUCGUACAGUAAGCAAAUAAGUAAGCAACGACAAAAUUAAUUUGGGUUAAAUGUUUCUGGGGACAAGUGGACGCGCAUCAGGGCUGAGAGACGGGAUCUGUACUUGUUUUUUAUGAUGUUGAAAUGUGAAAAACCCCUCUCACGAGCUGCAUUGCUCAAAGGAAGGAAUAGUACGGGACAACUUUAGUACCUUGUAGAUAUUGGAGUAACAAUCUGGAUUGCUUCUGUUAACUACCGUGACUAAAUCAUACACAGAGGAUGCUGCCAAGCGGUUUCCUGCUCGCUUUAAACGCAUCCAUUCUUUUAUAGUUGUGUCUCUGUCAAGAGGCAAGAUGGCCUCAUAUUUAUUGAG
ensembl:lncRNA